rnacentral:tRNA from 1 species
ACUUGAAUAGUUUAUUUAGAAUAGUAAUUUGUGGUGUUAUUGGUGUAUUUUACUUCAGGUU